GAUGAACGCUGGCGGCGUGCCUAAUACAUGCAAGUCGAGCGAACAGAUGAGGAGCUUGCUCCUCUGACGUUAGCGGCGGACGGGUGAGUAACACGUGGAUAACCUACCUAUAAGACUGGGAUAACUUCGGGAAACCGGAGCUAAUACCGGAUAAUAUAUUGAACCGCAUGGUUCAAUAGUGAAAGACGGUUUUGCUGUCACUUAUAGAUGGAUCCGCGCCGCAUUAGCUAGUUGGUACGGUAACGGCUUACCAAGGCAACGAUGGGUAGCCGACCUGAGAGAGUGAUCGCCCACACUGGAGCUGAGCCACGGACCAUAGUCCUAAGGGAGGCAGCAGUAGGGAAUCUGACGCAAUGGGCGAAAGCCUGACGGAGCGGCGCCGCGUGAGUGAUGAAGGUCUUCGGAUCGUAAAAAUCUGUUAUUAGGGAAGAACAAAUGUGUAAGUGACUAUGCACGUCUUGACGGUACCUAAUCAGAAAGCCACGGCUAACUACGUG
rnacentral:rRNA from 1 species